GCACAAGCGGUGGAGUAUGUGGUUUUAAUUCGAUGCAACGCGAAGAACCUUACCUGGUCUUGACAUCCCGGAGACCCUUAGGAAACUAGGGGGUGCUUCCAUCUGGAAGAAUCUGGAGACAGGUGCUGCAUGGCUGUCGUCAGCUCGUGUCGUGAGAUGUUGGGUUAAGUCCCGCAACGAGCGCAACCCUUGCCUUUAGUUGCCAGCAGUUCGGCUGGGCACUCUAAAGGGACUGCCGGUGUUAAACCGGAGGAAGGUGGGGAUGACGUCAAGUCCUCAUGGCCUUUAUGACCAGGGCUACACACGUACUACAAUGGCCGAUACAAAGGGCAGCGACACUGCGAGGUGAAGCCAAUCCCGUAAAAUCGGUCUCAGUCCGGAUUGGAGUCUGCAACUCGACUCCAUGAAGUUGGAAUCGCUAGUAACCGUGGAUCAGCAUGCCACGGUGAAUACGUUCCCGGGCCUU
rnacentral:rRNA from 1 species